ACUCCUACGGGAGGCAGCAGUGGGGAAUAUUGCACAAUGGGGGAAACCCGUAGAUGCAGCCAUGCCGCGUGUGUGAAGAAGGCCUUCGGGUUGUAAAGCACUUUCAGUAAGGAGGAAAGGUUAGUAGUUAAUACCUGCUAGCUGUGACGUUACUUACAGAAGAAGCACCGGCUAACUCCGUGCCAGCAGCCGCGGUAAUACGGAGGGUGCGAGCGUUAAUCGGAAUUACUGGGCGUAAAGCGUACGCAGGCGGUUUGUUAAGCGAGAUGUGAAAGCCCCGGCUC
rnacentral:rRNA from 1 species